GAGGCUAUAGCUCAAGAGGUAGAGCACCUGCCUAGCAUGCACAAGGUCCUGGGUUCAAUCCCCAGCACCUCCU
rnacentral:tRNA from 1 species